rnacentral:rRNA from 1 species
UACGUAGGGUGCAAGCGUUAAUCGGAAUUACUGGGCGUAAAGCGUGCGCAGGCGGUUUUGUAAGUCUGUCGUGAAAUCCCCGGGCUCAACCUGGGAAUUGCGAUGGAGACUGCAAGGCUAGAAUCUGGCAGAGGGGGGUAGAAUUCCACGUGUAGCAGUGAAAUGCGUAGAGAUGUGGAGGAACACCGAUGGCGAAGGCAGCCCCCUGGGUCAAGAUUGACGCUCAUGCACGAAAGCGUGGGGAGCAAACGAGGAUUAGAA